AUGAUAUAUCUUAUGUGGAAGGGAAACAGUCUUAUACAAAGCUUUUACUGGGAGAGGAAUUGGGGUUAUGUAUAGGAGGAAGGGCUAAGUGUCGUGUAGGUUGGGAAAAUGGUUUAUGGUUUAUGGGUCAUGGGUUAAGCGUUAACGGGUAAUUAUGGUUACGUUUAAGAAUAGUUAGGGGUAAGAAUAUUAGGGAUAACCAUAGUAACGGGUAAGUAUGCGAAGGGUUUAAAUGGGUUAAUUAGUGAAGUAAGGUCGAAUGGUGCUAAGUGUAUGGCUGAACUUUAGGUUAAGGUUUCGGGUUGGACUAAAGUUGAGGGUUGGGCUAAAGCACGAGUGAGAGGAGAGAGUAUAUGUGAGAGGAAAUAAAGGAUGUAUGAGAGGAGAGAGGGUAUGUGUUAGAGGAGAGAGAGGAUAUGUGUGAGAGGAGAGAGAGCAUGUGUGAAAAAGGAGAUAAGUUGUGUGAGAGGAGAGAGAGAGUUAGUGUGAGUGGAGAAAAGGUUCUGUGAGAGGAGAUAGAGGUUGUGUGAGAAGAGAGAGGAUUUGUGAGAGGAGAGAGAGUUUGUGUGAGAGGAGAGAGAGUUUGAGUGAGAGGAGAGGGAGUAUGUGUGAGUGGAGAAAGAGUAUGUACGAGAGAGUAUGUGUGAGAAGAAAGAGAAGAUGACUGAGGGAGAGAGAGGUUGUAUAGAAGAGAGAGAGGAGCACAGUGUGAAAGAGGAGAGACAUAGUAUGUGUGAGAGGAUGUAUGGGUGUGUUUUAAAGAGAGAGAGAGAGAGUGUGUGAGCGGGUAUGACAAGGAGAGAAGAGCGAGAGCAUGGAGGGGUUCAAGUGGAGUGGAGUGUGUAAUUUAUGUAUAUAUAAAUAUAAUAUACUAACUACAUAAAUGAUUUGGAAAAUAUGUUUAAGCUAUUAAAACUAUUGAGAUUUCAGUAUUUUCUAAUGUUUCCGUUGAACUUUGAGUUUCCGCAAGUAUCCGAAUAAAAUGAUAAAAUGGAUCUAAGACGAUUAUCUUGAAGAUUAUAAAAAAUAAAAAAUUCCAGUAUUGCAUCAGCCUGAGUAAAAAAAAAAAAAAAAAAAAAAAAAGAAGUUUGUGAGUUUCACUCUGUCUACUUAUUUUUCGCAAAGUAACAGUUCGCAGGAAAAGUUUUGCACUACCCCGAC
rnacentral:lncRNA from 1 species